rnacentral:rRNA from 1 species
UACGGGGGGGGCAAGCGUUGUUCGGAAUUACUGGGCGUAAAGUGUGCGCAGGCGGUUUUGUAAGCCAGAUGUGAAAUCCCCGGGCUUAACCUGGGAAUGGCAUUUGGGACUGCAAGGCUUGAGUGCGGCAGAGGAGACUGGAAUUCCUGGUGUAGCAGUGAAAUGCGUAGAUAUCAGGAGGAAUACCGAUGGCGAAGGCAGGUCUCUGGGCUGACACUGACGCUCAUGCACGAAAGCGUGGGGAGCAAACAGG